CUUUCAUUGCUCCAUUGGCAAGCUUUGAUAAAUUAAACUUAACGUUAAGAAAUAAUAAAUAUACUCAUAAUAUAUCAUUUAAGAUUGGUGAAAAUGACAGUGAUGAUACUAUGAGAGCUGAACACUUUUUACAUGUUCUUCAAUAUCAGUUUCCUCUCUUACAUGAUGUGUGGAAAAACGAACCAGAAAUAGCAUAUGGAGUACACAUACUAAUUGGAUUUGUAGCUUUGAUAGUAGGAACAGGAGG
rnacentral:lncRNA from 1 species